CUGAGCUACAUUCUUCAAAUCUGAUUUUAACCCUAAACCACACUGCUAACCUUAUGCCUAACCUUAAACUUAAAUUAAGAUCAGAAAUGUACAUUUUUAUUUUCUUGAUAUUUUACGAUAGGCCUAUAGACAAUUUAGACUUUGUGACUGGGUUUUCUAAUAACCAGAGAGGCUGGGGGGAGGAGUUUACUCCAAGUACCUGUGCAAAGGUGAAAGUGAUAGUUUUGUCUCAGUAUAGACCUGAGAUGUAGAUUGUUCUGUAAAAAUGUGUAGAUAUGCACAGAUAGUGACUAUUAGAGUGGUUAUGGAUUUAAAUCAAUUAUUUUGAAUGUGAAGUGGAGGACGUGAAGACCAGUAAAGUUAAAAUGACGUCCAGAGUUCAUAUGGAGGUGUGGACACUGGUCAUCAGAGACACUGGAAAUUAUAUUUGGAGGUAAAGGUCACAACUCUCUCAUACUUACCAAGCUCACCAGCUGAUGCCUCCCUCUUCAGCUUGUCCUCCUGGGUCUCAUGUUGUAAAUACUGUGAUACUGAUCCUAUGGUGUAAAAC